GAUACUUGAAGAAGACUAAUUACCAACUAAGAUUGAAAUCAGACCCUAAGGCACAAAAUCAAGCCUCAACGACAAUUCUAGGAUUCUUUUGUUGAUCAAAGAGUGAGUUUGAAGGGAAGACUUGAUAGGAUUUCUAUAAGCACUAAUUUUGGAGGAUUUGAGUGAAUAAUAACCUUGCAAGAGCUUGGCAAAGUCGAUGUUGUUUUUAGUGACUCUAAUUUUUGGAAAAUAAAAUAGGGUUGAUGUUUUGAGCAAUUUUAAGAAGUUUAGUAACAUAUCUA
rnacentral:lncRNA from 1 species